GUGUGUGUAUAUACGAUCGAUCAGGGGCAGAGGGUGAGGUGAAACCCUAGUUUCACCAAAAUCCAUCAAAUUGAAGGGGGAUUGAAGGGCUAAACUAAUGCAUGAACCAAGAUUUUCGAUCACUUUAGCGUUUCUACCAUCAUGAAUGUGUCAAGGAGAGGUCAAGCAUAGGAGGAUAACGGGUCAAGAUAAGGCAAGGUGACAAAUACACUUAUUGGAGUACUCGAGGUAUGGGAUCGUUGGCUUCAUGAAGAAAUGGAGCUGGAUUUGGAUAAGAGUAUUUAAGAAAGCGCUUGGACAAUUCCACGACUACUUUAUAGAAUGCUCUACGAAAUUCUAUUAUAUAGUUUAAUGUUGUAUGGUAUGUUAAUGACUAAUGGUUUGGUUGUACGUGGUGUCCACAGGUAUCGCUUGGGUUUUCUCUACAUUUAUUGAAGUGAAGCGGACUUAGUUCGA